GAGUGACCGCUGCGCAGAUGUGCGACGGAGUCCGCGGCGGUCGCGUUUUCUAAAGAUGUCCAUCGCACCGCUAAUCAUUUGGUUAGCGGCCCGAACACGGGAGAGAACGCUGAGCGUUACAAC
rnacentral:ncRNA from 1 species